rnacentral:rRNA from 1 species
UAGGGANUCUUCCACAAUGGGCGAAAGCCUGAUGGAGCAACGCCGCGUGUGUGAUGAGGGCUUUAGGGUCGUAAAGCACUGUUGUAUGGGAAGAAAUGCUAGAAUAGGGAAUGAUUCUAGUUCGACGGUACCAUACCAGAAAGGGACGGCUAAAUACGUGCCAGCAGCCGCGGUAAUACGUAUGUCCCGAGCGUUAUCCGGAUUUAUUGGGCGUAAAGCGAGCGCAGACGGUUGAUUAAGUCUGAUGUGAAAGCCCGGAGCUCAACUCCGGAAUGGCAUUGGAAACUGGUUAACUUGAGUGUUGUAGAGGUAAGUGGAACUCCAUGUGUAGCGGUGGAAUGCGUAGAUAUAUGGAAGAACACCAGUGGCGAAGGCGGCUUACUGGACAACAACUGACGUUGAGGCUCGAAAGUGUGGGUAGCAAACAGGAUUAGAUACCCUGGUAGUCCACACCGUAAACGAUGAAUACUAGGUGUUAGGAGGUUUCCGCCUCUUAGUGCCGAAGCUAACGCAUUAAGUAUUCCGCCUGGGGAGUACGACCGCAAGGUUG